AGUGUUGCCUUUAUCCGAAGUACCCUGAAGACUUCAAAGUAUUGCAUUGCUUGUGCUGCUCCGAUGAUUUGCUCUACACCAGUUGAUCAGAUUCAGCAGAAUAUAUAAGGUUGUUUUGUUCGAGAAUAAAAUGCAUAAAAUAAAAAUUAUAGGUCACGUUUGUGGGUUCCAUUCGGUGCAGAGGACUUGGAAGCUAAAAGGUUACUCCGAACACUCAACCCCUUCGCACGCACGCACUCACUUUCCUCUGGGUAGUCGGCCUUCUUUGCAUUUUUAAAGCACCGCGCUGGCAGCCAUCAAUUUAUCAUGCUGUUGUGUUGGCCAUAUAAGCGGAAGUUGUACAACCCAGCACUACAUGCCCUGCCAGCCGUAUGAGCAGCAACAAUACCAUCAGGAGCAGGCAGCCGCAGCGGCAGGCACGAGAUGGAGAAGGAAGUCGAAGACACAACCCCACUUUCGGGGGGCAGGGGAUGAGUGUCACAUCUAUUUUCAACAUUGUGCACACAUUUCAUUCAUUGAGUGCAUGUCGGGCCCGAGACCAGAACGAGCAUAUUUACAACCAUAGAGGCAUUUAUGCGCUUUUAUGAGAUUUUAUGGGACAUUUAAAAAAGACAGUUGGUUAUUUUUUUACUAAGUUGAUAAUUAUCUUGUGGGUGGAUGUGCACGUGUGUGUGUGCAAUCAAAACGCAAUGAAUUCAAUUGAAAAUUUUCCAUUUCUUCUUCAAUCUGAAGUUAUUUACAGCUUGACUCCAGUCCUUCAGUCCAGGACGGGGAGGGGGAGGGGAGCGAGCAAUGGAAAAGUGCAGCAAUUGGGCAGUCGUCGAACUUUUUGCACUCGAUAUGUGACGACAAGGACAUCGCUGUGCUUUUCACUCGCCUCCCCGAAACUGAUAAAGAUAAGGCCAAGGAGUCUGUCGCCGUCUCGAGCUUCUGGUUCUGUUUCUGGUUCGAGUGUGUCCUGGAGGAAACUUUGUCGUCAUGCCUGCCCGGCCCGUAUGGCCCGGCGGUUUUUGCGGCGAACAGAACAAGAACGAGAGGAGUUGACUAGUAUUUUUGUGACAAUUUAUUUUCUGUGCUCUGGCUGGCAUUUGCUUUUCAACAAAUCGAAAAACUAUUAAAUUGGGCUGAAAGC